UACCAGCACCCCGAGUGGUCGGGACGAUUAUUGGGCCUAAAGCAUCCGUAGCCGGUCAUGCAAGUCUUCCGUUAAAUCCAGCCGCUCAACGGUUGGGCUGCGGAGGAUACUACGUGGCUAGGAGGCGGGAGAGGCGAGCGGUACUCAGUGGGUAGGGGUAAAAUCCUUUGAUCCAUUGAAGACCACCAGUGGCGAAGGCGGCUUGCCAGAACGCGCUCGACGGUGAGGGAUGAAAGCUGGGGGAGCAAACCGGG
rnacentral:rRNA from 1 species